GACGAACGCUGGCGGCGUGCUUAACACAUGCAAGUCGAACGGUGAAGCGCCUUCCUUUUUGGUGGGUGUGGAUGAGUGGCGAACGGGUGAGUAACACGUGAGUAACCUGCCCCCUUCUUCUGGAUAACCGCAUGAAAGUGUGGCUAAUACGGGAUAUUCUGGGUCUGUCGCAUGAUGGGUCUGGGAAAGAUAUUGUUUCGGUGGGGGAUGGGCCCGCGGCCUAUCAGCUUGUUGGUGGGGUGAUGGCCUACCAAGGCGGUGACGGGUAGCCGGCCUGAGAGGGUAGACGGUCACACUGGGACUGAGACACGGCGCAGACUCCUACGGGAGGCAGCAGUGGGGAAUAUUGCACAAUGGGCGCAAGACUGAUGCAGCGGCGCCGCGUGAGGGAUGGAGGCCUUCGGGUUGUGAACCUCUUUCGCCAGUGAAGCAGGCCUGCCUCGUUUGUGGGUGGGUUGACGGUAGCUGGAUAAGAAGCGCCGGCUAACUACGUG
rnacentral:rRNA from 1 species